rnacentral:rRNA from 1 species
ACGCUGGCGGCAGGCCUAACACAUGCAAGUCGAGCGGUAGAGAGAAGCUUGCUUCUCUUGAGAGCGGCGGACGGGUGAGUAAUGCCUAGGAAUCUGCCUGGUAGUGGGGGAUAACGUUCGGAAACGGACGCUAAUACCGCAUACGUCCUACGGGAGAAAGCAGGGGACCUUCGGGCCUUGCGCUAUCAGAUGAGCCUAGGUCGGAUUAGCUAGUUGGCGGGGUAAUGGCUCACCAAGGCGACGAUCCGUAACUGGUCUGAGAGGAUGAUCAGUCACACUGGAACUGAGACACGGUCCAGACUCCUACGGGAGGCAGCAGUGGGGAAUAUUGGACAAUGGGCGAAAGCCUGAUCCGGCCAUGCCGCGUGUGUGAAGAAGGUCUUCGGAUUGUAAAGCACUUUAAGUUGGGAGGAAGGGCAGUUGCCUAAUACGUAACUGUUUUGACGUUACCGACAGAAUAAGCACCGGCUAACUCUGUGCCAGCAGCCGCGGUAAUACAGAGGGUGCAAGCGUUAAUCGGAAUUACUGGGCGUAAAGCGCGCGUAGGUGGUUUGUUAAGUUGGAUGUGAAAUCCCCGGGCUCAACCUGGGAACUGCAUUCAAAACUGACUGACUAGAGUAUGGUAGAGGGUGGUGGAAUUUCCUGUGUAGCGGUGAAAUGCGCAGAUAUAGGAAGGAACACCAGUGGCGAAGGCGACCACCUGGACUGAUACUGACACUGAGGUGCGAAAGCGUGGGGAGCAAAC